rnacentral:rRNA from 1 species
ACAUGCCUACAACAUAACGUUAAUGCACCAGAUACCAUUAUAACUCUGCAGUUAAGUGCACUCGGGCUAGAGUAAUAUUGGGAUGAGUGACAGCCCGAGAAGUCCUAGUGUUUUACAUGCC